rnacentral:rRNA from 1 species
UACGUAGGUCCCGAGCGUUGUCCGGACUUAUUGGGCGUAAAGCGAGCGCAGGUGGUUUAUUAAGUCUGGUGUAAAAGGCAGUGGCUCAACCAUUGUAUGCAUUGGAAACUGGUAGACUUGAGUGCAGGAGAGGAGAGUGGAAUUCCAUGUGUAGCGGUGAAAUGCGUAGAUAUAUGGAGGAACACCGGUGGCGAAAGCGGCUCUCUGGCCUGUAACUGACACUGAGGCUCGAAAGCGUGGGGAGCAAACAGG